rnacentral:hammerhead_ribozyme from 1 species
AUCCAACUGACGAGUCCCGAGCGGGACGAAAUGCGCGUUGUGGAU